GACGAACGCUGGCGGCGUGCCUAAUACAUGCAAGUCGAACGAAGCUGUUUUAACUGGUGCUUGCACCGACUUAAACAACUGAGUGGCGAACGGGUGAGUAACACGUGGGUAACCUGCCCCAAAGCGGGGGAUAACAUUUGGAAACAGAUUCUAAUACCGCAUAAUCACAGAAACCACACGGUUUCUGUGUCAAAGAUGGUUUCGGCUAUCACUUUGGGAUGGACCCGCGGCGUAUUAGCUAGUUGGUUAGGUAAUGGCUUACCAAGGCAAUGAUACGUAGCCGAACUGAGAGGUUGAUCGGCCACAUUGGGACUGAGACACGGCCCAAACUCCGACGGGAGGCAGCAGUAGGGAAUCUUCAACAAUGGACGAAAGUCUGAUGGAGCAACGCCGCGUGAGUGAAGAAGGUUUUCGGAUCGUAAAACUCUGUUGUCAGAGAAGAACGUGUGCGAGAGUAACUGUUCGCGCAGUGACGGUAUCUGGCCAGAAAGCCACGGCUAACUACGUGCCAGCCGCCGCGGUAA
rnacentral:rRNA from 1 species